GCUCAACCUCACACGAAAUGAAAGACGUCCAUGUUGCAACUAUAACGUACACUUUUUCCAGCUGAGACUGCGAGGGUGUGCACAGCAAGGCGGCCAGCGGACAGGCGCUCUGAGACCCUGCCGUGGGGACGUGAACAGAUACAGCCUCUGCCCACCAACACUGUGGAUGCCACACAACCCACCCGGCAAUUCCAUGCCCAGGGCCCUGUAAGACGUGAAAGGCAUGGUCACAGUGCUUUACUGAUUCCCAAACCAAGGCUCCCAGCAGUAAGGGGACCUGCCGGAGCGACGCAGAGCUGGGAGAUGACUGCUUGACAGAAAGCCCGUGGAGUGCUGGACAAGGCAGUCCUGUCGCAGUGUCUGGACGGUCUAUAACAUGUUUUCACAGUGGAGAGGCUGAGAGUAUGCAUUUUGGAUCCAGGCUGUCCACGGCUGCAGGCUGUGUGGCGUCAGGCAAGUCGCGCACCUCCCUGGGCCUCAGUAUCCUCAUCUGGGAAGUGAGGACAAUAGCAGCACCGAGCUCACAAGGUGGUUGUAGGGCUUCAGCGAGUUACGACCCGGGAAGUGCUCAGAACAGGGCCUGGCAGUGAGUAAGCCCCUGUAAGUAUUAUUUCACUAUAUGAAGGCUUCAAGUUCUAGAAGGCAACACACCAAACUGGUCACCUCAAACUGGGACAGGACAGACCUGUGGCGGGAGCAGCGAGUAAUGGGCAGUUUAACCUUAUGUAUAAGGUGUUUAGCUUCUUGCAAAGGGCAUUUAGUCAUGUGUUACUUCUGUGGUUUAUAAUGAAAACUUUUUUGGUUUUUCUAAGUGAAAGAAGACAGAAGGCUGGGCCCUCUCAAGUUCAGAAGAGGGAUUGUGCUUCUGGGGUGGAUCACCUGAACCAUUCUCCCCCUGCCAGCUGACAGUGCCCAGACACAAAACACGGGCAGAAGAAAGGUUUGGGGGAGAGGAGAGAGGGACUGGUAGGCUGGAGCUCUGAGCCCCACUGCCCAGCCUUGCUAGGUGACUUGCAGGACGUGCAGGCAAGUCCCUGCCCUCUCUGAGCCCUGGUUCACUUGUGCAGCGAGCAAGCCUAUCUCACAGGGAUCUGUGGAGCUGAUAAAAGAGCCCUUAUGGUCAGGAGGUGGGGGCUGGCAUCUUGAUUCAAUAUUUAAUGCUGUGUAACCUACAACAAGUUUCUUAACCUCUCUGUACCACAGUCUCCUCAUUUAAAGAUGGGGUGAUGACUCUGCAUAUACUUUCCAGAGUCCCAGGGAGAACGGGAGACGUUAUACAUGUGGAGUGCCCAGCACCACGAAGGGCAGGGCAGCUGCCGUGGAAUCGGGGUUAUCAGCACAGACCAGGCGUCAUGCUGUGGCGUUCCACCCAGUUUCUUCAGUGGACCCUCAAUACCUUUUAAGGCAGGUGUUCCCCCAUUUUGCAGAAGAAUAAACAGACUCGGAGAAGUCAAGAAACAAAGUGUGGAUUUAAAACCUAGGCUGAGCCCAGCCA